UGAUGUGGAACAAUAAGUCUUCGUUACGUUACUUAUGACCGCCGCCAUUUUUUUGUAGCACUGAUUCUGAUUGUGAUGUUGUUUAUUGAAAGCUGAUCAUGUGGCCUACAUUUUGCCAAGAUGUCGUCUCUUUUUCCUGUACGUACCGGCUGUACGUUUUGUAAGAAACACUUCAGAACAAAUCAGAACUUCAGUUGUCUACCUUGGAAAAGCUUGCUAGCUGUAGGAUCCUUUGCAACAUAUAUUCCAAAGGAUUGUUCUGGUAAAGUCUGAGCUUUGUCGUUGCUGCCCAAUUAUGGAUUUGGUGCAGCCAGCUGGUAAAGGGUGUUCCUCUUGCUACCUGUACUCUUGUGUGUUUCGUCAAAUGAAGAAACAUGAACAACUGAAGUUUAUCGUGUAUGUUCGCGUAGUUGCUGUCCGCUGUGGUACUUUGUUGCAGCCUAUGCUGGUGAUAGAUCUUUCUGCAUCAAAUUCAAUUGGCCGUGCUGUUGUCGUGUAACCGUUAAAUGUUAAGAAGGAAAAAAAAAUAUGGGGAUAGUUAUGUCUAGCAAGUAAUAAACAUGUUUUCGGGAUUGGGAAAGGAAAGUGGAAGAUGUUGGAGAGGGGGAUUCAAGUUUGGAUAAAAACAGUUAAUUUUAAGUUUUAACCCUACAAACAUAUCCCUACCAACUAAUCUCCAAACCCCACAAACUUAUACCUUCCAACUCUUCACACACAAACACACCUACCAACCCUAAAUUUAUAUCAUAUCCAAAUUAACCAAUGUUAAACCCUAACAAUGUGAUGUCUGUAAUAAAUAAAACUUUUUAUACAUAAAA